UGGGGUAUGAAAUGUAGCAUAUGUGUAUAUUAUGCACCAUGGACUUUUAGCUAGUCUUAGCAUUUGAUAGCGCUGCUAUCAAGAUGGCGUCAGGUAGCUAACCUAGGGCAAGGCCCGCGAUACCGGGCGGGGGCAACUGCGCAUGGUUUUACCGGCUGUAAUGCCAGGUCUGCUGUGUAAAUAUAGACAGGCAUGUGUGGUGCACUCAGACUUCUCAAUCUCAGCUAAAAGCUCAUAAAAAGAUUUCUACAACCACCAAACACAAGUCAGAGUUUUAAUUGGACAACGCGAGGUCAGCAGCGGAUAGUGAGGACAGCAGAGAGGAUCAUUGGAGGCCCUCUCCCGCCCAUCUCCCAACUCUACGACAAACACAUCAUCCGACGUGUGAAGGACACUUUCCACCCCUCACAUGCACUCUGGAUGGCGAUUGAUGGGGAACAGAGACUCUUCCCAUGAACGGAAACAACACGAACAAUGUCGUGAGGUGCCAUGACGAGAAGGAGUGACUGAGAGGAUCAUCGAUAAGAUGGAAGCUGAGGCCUGGAGAGAGUCUUCAGGAGGAUCGGAGAUCACCUUUAGCACAGAGAGCUGUGCUACUGGGCUUCCAGGAGAUCGUUAUGAGGAGACUCUGCACAGCAGAAUCUUGAAUAGGAUAAAA